GACGAACGCUGGCGGCGUGCUUAACACAUGCAAGUCGAACGCUGAAGCUCAGCUUUUGUUGGGUGGAUGAGUGGCGAACGGGGGAGUAACACGUGAGUAACCUGCCCCCUUCUUUGGGAUAACGCCCGGAAACGGGUGCUAAUACUGGAUAUUCACUGUUCUUCGCAUGGGGGUUGGUGGAAAGGGUUUUUCUGGUGGGGGAUGGGCUCGCGGCCUAUCAGCUUGUUGGUGGGGUGAUGGCCUACCAAGGCUUUGACGGGGAGCCGGCCUGAGAGGGUGACCGGUCACAUUGGGACUGAGAUACGGCCCAGACUAGUAAGGGAGGCAGCAGUGGGGAAUAUUGCACAAUGGGCGCAAGCCUGAUGCAGCGACGCCGCGUGAGGGAUGGAGGCCUUCGGGUUGUGAACCUCUUUAGCUCAUGGUCAAGCAGCAACAAUGGUUGUGGUGAGGGUAGUGGGUAAAGAAGCGCCGGCUAACUACGUG
rnacentral:rRNA from 1 species